rnacentral:rRNA from 1 species
UACGGAGGGUGCAAGCGUUAUCCGGAUUCACUGGGUUUAAAGGGUGCGUAGGCGGAUUGGUAAGUCCGUGGUGAAAUCCCCGAGCUUAACUUGGGAACUGCCGUGGAUACUAUCAGUCUUGAAUAUCGUGGAGGUAAGCGGAAUAUGUCAUGUAGCGGUGAAAUGCUUAGAUAUGACAUAGAACACCAAUUGCGUAGGCAGCUUACUAAUCGAUCAUUGACGCUGAGGCACGAAAGCGUGGGGAGCAAACAGG